GAAGAAAACAUCUAAUGUUUUAGCACCUAAUGAACAAGGCACUGUGCCUUGCUACCUUGUGAAACUAUCUUCACUAGAUGUCAGAAAUCUGAAUACUUCCACCUCACCCAUCUCAUAAUGUAAACUAGAUUAAACAAGAAUGAGUAGAAUCCAUGGCCAGGCUGUGCCAACAUUUCUUUUCUCAAUUAGAUCACCGUUAUUUUUAAAAAUAAUGUGCGCACAAUAGAGAUAGAUACAUAGAUACACAUGUACACACAAGGAGAUAAAAAGGCAAUUGAGGUAAUAGAUAAUAUUUUUGAGGAACUUUGCUUCAAAAAUGUGAUUUAUUCCCCAAAUCUUUUGUAUUUUUGCCC
rnacentral:lncRNA from 1 species